GUUGUUAUUAAACUUGGUUUAAUCAUAGGUGAUGAUUAUAGUGAUUUUUAAAUUAUAUAUAUUGGUAUCAUGUGCCUUGUGUUGAGAUUUGGUUGGUAAUCUAUUUUUAUGAUGCUAGAGGUAUGGUUUAAAGGUUUUGCUUGGUUCUAUAAUUUUAUAUCUUGCUUUUAAAAGGUAUUAAGUGAAUAAAACAUAAGAUUGAGUGUUUAAAGCAUCGAUUGUUUUGAGAAAAAAA